GUAGGACCUGGACUACCAGGGUCACUGUCUAAUGAUAAGUCUUGAGUUUCUGGACGGUCUGGACUUUGUGUCAUGCCGGCACGACGUCCUUGCUUUGCAGCAGACUGGAUAAUUUCAAAUUCAGAGUCAGACAUGAACAAUGUUGAACACAACGAAUUUAAAAUCGAUUUCCCAACCUAAAAGCACAUCUGUUUUCAAAAUAUAACCCUGCUUUCUUCAUCCCUAAAAACAAAUAAAGCAAUACUAAUGGGCAAUUGGCAGUUGGAAGUCUUUAAAAUGACGCUCUACAUGAGUUUUCCGUAGCAAUGUUCCACUAUUUCAAUCAACCCGAAUAUUAUGAAGAUUAUGUGACUAAAUUGAAGCAGACUGUCUUCCCGCCCGUAAACAAACAGCGUGAUGAUGAACUAAAGGAUGCCAUCAAAAAGAUUCAACAGAGUCAAGACCUUCGUAUUCUCCAAGCAAUGGAGCAAGGUUCCAAACAGUAAAUUAUUAAAUGACAAUGCUUAGGACUAGUUAAAGAGUAAAAUGUUAAUUGAGUGAUGGACAAAUAAUUAAAGUUUAUUAUAAAGUUA